UAGGGAAUCUUCCACAAUGGACGCAAGUCUGAUGGAGCAACGCCGCGUGAGUGAAGAAGGCUUUCGGGUCGUAAAACUCUGUUAUUGAAGAAGAACGUGCGUGACAGUAACUGGUCAUGCAGUGACGGUAUUCAAUCAGAAAGUCACGGCUAACUACGUGCCAGCAGCCGCGGUAAUACGUAGGUGGCAAGCGUUGUCCGGAUUUAUUGGGCGUAAAGCGAGUGCAGGCGGUCUUUUAAGUCUGAUGUGAAAGCCUUCGGCUUAACCGAAGAAGGGCAUCGGAAACUGGGAGACUUGAGUGCAGAAGAGGAGAGUGGAACUCCAUGUGUAGCGGUGAAAUGCGUAGAUAUAUGGAAGAACACCAGUGGCGAAGGCGGCUCUCUGGUCUGUAACUGACGCUGAGGCUCGAAAGCGUGGGUAGCAAACAGGAUUAGAUACCCUGGUAGUCCACGCCGUAACGAUGAAUACUAAGUGUUGGAGGGUUUCCGCCCUUCAGUGCUGCAGCUAACGCAUUAAGUAUUCCGCCUGGGGAGUACGACCGCAAGGUUGAA
rnacentral:rRNA from 1 species